UGACCUUGGAUUAGGUAGGAAUACCCGUUGAAUUUAAGUAUAUUAAUAAGUAGAGGAAAAGAAAUUAAUAGGGAUUACCCUAAUAAUGGUGAGUAAAGCGGUAAUAGUUUAAAUUUAAAAUCUAGCUUUAGCCUGAAUUGUAAUUUAUAAAGGAAGCUUUUAGUAAAGUACCUUCUAAAUCCUUUAGAACGGGGCGUUAUAGAGGGUGAGAGCCUUGUAUAGUCGGAUGUUAAUUUAAUAUAAAGUUCCUUUAAUAAGUCGAAUAGUUUAGGAAUAUUAUUUAAAAUAGGAGGUAAAUUUCUUUUAAAGUUAAAUACCGGUUAAAAAUUAAUAAUAUAUAAGUAGAAUAAUUGAAAGAUGAAAAGUACUUUAAAAAGAGGGUUAAAUAGUACGUAAAAUUAUUAAAAGGGAAGUGUUUGUAAUUAAAUUUACGCUGUUUUAAUUAUUUAGUAUUUUUACUAGUAUAUUUAGGACGGUUUAAAUUAGUAUUGGUUUUAGUGGGGGGAUAAAAGUCCGGGGAAUAUAGCUCCUCCGGGAAUAUUAUAGCCUUGGGUGUAAUACCUUCGCCGGGACUAAAGUUUGUGUAUUUGUAAGGAUAUUAGUAUAAUAAUUAUUAAUAAUUUGUUUUAAAAUACGGAUUAAAAAAUUAAAGUUUUGUAUAAGUAUUUAGGUGUAAAACCUAUAUAUGUAAUAAAAGUAAAUGUAGGUAAGAGCUUCGGUGUAUUAUUAAUUAAUUUUAAUAUAUUUGGAUAGAUUUAAGUAAGAAUAUUAAAUUUUAGAUUUAAAAGAUAGUGAACUAUAUUUAGAUAGGGUGAAGCUAAAAGAAAUUCUAAUAGAGGCUUAUAGCGGUUUUAAUAUAUAAAUCGAUUGUUAAAUUUAAGUAUAGGGGCGAAAGAUUAAUUGAACUAUUUAGUAGCUAAUUAUUAUUGAAGUUUCCCUUAGGAUAGUAGUAUUGUUCUUUAGUUUUAUAAGGUAAAGCGAAUAAUUAGGGAUUUGGGGGUGCUUUUUAGCCUUUAUCUAUUUUUAAAUUUUAAAUAUAUAAGAAGCCUUUAUUAUUUAAUUGAAUGUAGGUAUUCGAAUAUACUAAUAUUAGUAGGCUAUUUUUAGUAAAUAAAAUUAGUAAUGCGGAAUAAACCGAACGCGAAGUUAAAGUAUUGGAGUAGACGCUUAUUAAAUACUAUAAAAGGCGUUAGUAUAUUUUAAUAGUAGGAUAGUGGCUAUAGAAGUCGGAAUCUAUUAAGGAUUAUAUAAUAAUUUACUUACCGAAUAUAUUAGCUUUGAAAAUGGAUAGCGUUUAAAUAUCCUAUUUAUACUCCGCCUUUAGGGUAAAAAUAAUAUUUUGAGGAGUAGGCGGCCGUAGAAGUUAGUAAUAAAGUUUAGGGCGUAAGCCCGGAUUAAAUAGCCUUUAAUAUAGAUUUUAGUAGUAGUAGUAAAUAUUUUAAUAAGAAUUUGAAGGACCGAAGUAGGGAAAGGUUCUAUAUGAAUAGUAGUUAGAUAUAGGUUAAUUAAUUUUAAAUUAUAGGGAAAUUCCGUUUUAAAGGGGUAUUUAUACCUUAUAUAGUAAAAGGGAAAUUAGUUAAUAUUUUGGUAUUUAAAUAUAGGUUUUGUAUAGUAACGUAACUAAAUGUAGAGAUAAUAGUAGGGGUUCUAGAUAGAAUUCUCUUUUCUUUUUAAUAGUCUAUUACUUUAAAAAUAAUUUAUUUAGAGAUAGGGUUUAAUAGUUGGAAGAGCCCGAUACUUCUAUUAGGUCCGGUACACUUUCGACGUUCUUUAAAAAUCUGUAGGAGGGAAUAAUUCUUAUAUUAAAUUAUAUUUAUAAUUAUAGUAGGUCUCUAAGGUGAAUAACUUUUAGUUAAUAGAAUAAUAUAGAUAAGGGAAAUUAGUAAAAUAGAUUUGUAAUUUCGGGAAAAGGAUUAACUUUAAAGGUUAGAUAUAUUAGGUUUUAGGUAGAUGCCCUAGGAGUAGAUUAUUAUUAGCCGGGUAAUUAAUUAGCGGCUUUUAAUAUCCGGGUAUAGAAGCCCUUAGUAAAUUUCGGUCGUCCGGCGUACGUUUAAUAAUUAAUUUAAAAUUAAUAUAAAUAAGGGGAAUUUAAUUAUUUAAUUAAAAUAUAGUAUUGUAAUAGCUAGAAAGUAGUAUUAAUAUAAUAUAAUUUCUACUUAAUACUUUAAAUAUUAAAGUAAAGAAAUUUAAUUAAGUAUAGGUAAAUAGCGGGAGUAACUAUAAUUCUCUUAAGGUAAUUAAAUACUUUAUUAUUUAAUUAGUAAUAUAUAUAAAUAAAUUAAUGAAAUUCCUACUAUCCCUAUCUACUAUUUAGCGAAACUAUAGUUAAAGGAAUAGACUUAGUAGAAUUAGUAGGGAAAGAAGACCCUAUUAAAUUUAAUUCUAGUUUAAUAUUAUAAAAAGAUAUAGGAGGUAUAAAAUAAGUAGGAGCUUUAGCGUCGGUAAAAUAUUAUUACUCCUAUUAUUUUUUUAUUUAUUUAAUUAAGCGGGGCUGGAUUUUCGUCUAAUUUCUAGUUUUAAGGUCCUUUGUAGGCCGACCCGGGUUAAAGAUAUUAUUAGGUAGGGAGUUUAGUUAGGGCGGUAUAUUUAUUAAAUUAUAAUGUAGGUAUCCUAAGGGGGGUUUAUAGAGAAUAGAAAUCUUUAGUAGAAUAAAAGGGUAAAAGUUCCUUUAAUUUUGAUUUUUAAUAUAAAUACAAACUAUAAAAGUGUAGCCUAUUGAUCCUUUAGUCCCUUGAAAUUUAAGGCUAGAAGUGCUAGAAAAGUUACUAUAGGGAUAAUUAAUUUGUAGCGGUUAAAUAUUUAUAGUAAUAUUGCUUUUUAAUCCUUCGAUAUUGGCUCUUCCUAUUAUACUAAAGUAGAAUUUAAUAAGUAUUAGAUUAUUUACUUAUUAAUAGGGAAUGUAAAUUAAAUUUAGAUUAUUGUAAGAUAAGUUAGUUUUACCCUACUAAUAACCUUAUUAUAAUAAUAAUUAAACUUAGUAUAAGAAGAACCGCUUAUUUAAAUAAUUAGUUUUUAUAGUUAUCCGACUAAGUAGUACUAUAAUGCUACUAUCUAUUAAAUAAUAGUUAAACGCCUUUAAAUUAAAAUCUAUAUUAGAAUGUAAUAAUACUUCUAAUAUAUUAUAGACGUAUAAAAAUAGGCUCCAGCCUCGUAUUUUAGUAGGCGAUUCCUCUAUUGGCCUUAAAGUAGCUAGUGGUAAUUCGCGUAUUAUAAUUUUAAUACGUACUAGAUUAAAUUUUUUAUAAACGAUUUAAAUAUAUAAAAGGGUCUUAUAAAUAGUAGAGUAGCCUUAUUAUUACAAUUUACUAAAGGUAAACCCUCCUUCGCUUAAAUUUCU
rfam:Neurospora crassa OR74A unplaced genomic scaffold supercont12.9, whole genome shotgun sequence.